GACGAACGCUGGCGGCGUGCUUAACACAUGCAAGUCGAACGGAAAGGCCCUGCUUUUGUGGGGUGCUCGAGUGGCGAACGGGUGAGUAACAAGUGAGUAACCUGCCCUUGACUUUGGGAUAACUUCAGGAAACUGGGGCUAAUACCGGAUAGGAGCUCCUGCUGCAUGGUGGGGGUUGGAAAGUUUCGGCGGUUGGGGAUGGACUCGCGGCUUAUCAGCUUGUUGGUGGGGUAGUGGCUUACCAAGGCUUUGACGGGUAGCCGGCCUGAGAGGGUGACCGGCCACAUUGGGACUGAGAUACGGCCCAAACUCCUACGGGAGGCAGCAGUGGGGAAUAUUGCACAAUGGGCGGAAGCCUGAUGCAGCAACGCCGCGUGCGGGAUGACGGCCUUCGGGUUGUAAACCGCUUUCGCCUGUGACGAAGCGUGAGUGACGGUAAUGGGUAAAGAAGCACCGGCUAACUACGUG
rnacentral:rRNA from 1 species